CGCAAUGGGCGAAAGCCUGACGGAGCGACGUCGCGUGGUUGAUGAAGUCUUUCGGGAUGUAAAAACCUUUUAUGAGGGAGAAAGUUAUUGAUAGUACCUCAUGAAUAAGGGGUUGCUAAACUCGUGCCAGCAGCAGCGGUAAUACGAGUGCCCCGAGCGUUAUCCGGAAUUAUUGGGUGUAAAGGGUGCGUAGGUGGUCUUAUUAGUCUAGUGUUAAAACCUGGGGCUCAACUCCAGAUCUGCACCGGAAACGGUAAGGCUAGAGGGUGUGAGAGGUCUGUGGAACUCAUGGUGUAGGGGUGAAAUCCGUUGAUAUCAUGGGGAACACCAAAAGCGAAGGCAGCAGACUGGCACAUUCCUGACACUGAGGCACGAAAGCGUAGGUA
rnacentral:rRNA from 1 species